AUGGAAAUGCUGCAAGGAAAGCCGGCGAGAGGGAAGGGGGGGCGAGGCCGAUCUCCUCCUCCUCCUCCUCCUCCUCCACGCCCAGCCGCCCUCAGCCUCCUCUCCCGGAGCGCGGGCAUCUCUGGCUCCCGAUUCGCACUGCUGCGGGCCGGGGCGGUCCGGCCUUACUGCGAGCAGCUCGGCGGCUUCGGCCUGAUAAGAAGUCAGCGCUUGUCCUCCAGGCUUUUCUCUUUUUCUGGAAGACAAACUUCUGUUUACGUGAUUUGUUUGUCCUUGUUAGCCAUGGACUCCAUCAGAGGCUCUAAGUGGUGCCUACAGGAAGGGCACGCGGGAUGUUUGUGCAAGAGCCCAGAAAGAUGUGAUCUGCACCAGAGAGCUGCCCCAGCCCCACUGCGAUGGCAGCUGAGGGUCCCCUCGUGGUUAAAGCGAUGCCUGGUGCCUGGUGGCCCUCGUGUGCAGCAGCGGAGGAGGAAAAUAACGCAAGGAAUAAGAGAGAAACGUCGGGUGGUUCCAUCCGUCACUCGAUGUACUCGACCCUGCGUGAUUUCUGUGCCGGUUGCACGCCAACAAGUCAGCGGGCAGAAAACAGCAAGGAGGCUCUAAAGGCAGCGGUGUGCAGUGCGGGGCGAUGCCCGCGCCUCCGGCCCGCGGGGUACAAAACGUCCUCGGCUGAGGUUGGGGAACUUCGGGGGGAAGAAGAGAACGAGAGCGGGCAGAGGGGGCUGAAGGAAGGGGGUGGAGAGGGGAAAAGGGGGGGGGAGCCGGGGCAGGGAGGGACGGCUGGAGGGAGGGAAAGGCGGCGGAGCGGCGCGCAGGGACGGAGCCGGGGGUGGAG
rnacentral:lncRNA from 1 species